UACGGGGGGGGCAAGCGUUGUCCGGAUUUAUUGGGCGUAAAGAGCGUGUAGGCGGCCAGGUAGGUCUGCUGUGAAAACUCGAGGCUCAACCUCGAGACGUCGGCGGAAACCAUCUGGCUAGAGUCCGGAAGAGGAGAGUGGAAUUCCUGGUGUAGCGGUGAAAUGCGCAGAUAUCAGGAAGAAUACCGGUGGCGAAGGCGGCAUCCUGGACCGGCAUUGACGCUGAUGAGCGAAAGCUAGGGGAGCAAACGGG
rnacentral:rRNA from 1 species